GGCCGUGUGGUCUAGUGGUAUGAUUCUCGCUUUGGAUGCGGGAGGCCCUGGGUUCAAUUCCCAGCCUGGUCC
rnacentral:tRNA from 1 species